rnacentral:rRNA from 1 species
UACGUAGGAGGCAAGCGUUGUCCGGAAUUACUGGGCGUAAAGCGCGUGUAGGUGGUGGGACAAGUCUGCUGUGAAAGCGCCUGGCUUAACCGGGCGAGGUCGGCGGAAACUGUCCGACUCGAGGACGGUAGAGGGGGGUGGAAUUCCCGGUGUAGUGGUGAAAUGCGUAGAGAUCGGGAGGAACACCAAUGGCGAAGGCAGCUCACUGGGACGGUAUUGACGCUGAGGCGCGAAAGCUAGGGGAGCAAACGGG